GUACCAGGUUUUCCUCAGGGGGAAGUGUUUCCAGGGGUAAGUACCAGGUUUUCCUCAGGGGGAAGUGUCUCCAGGGAUUAGUACCAGGUUUUCCUCAGGGGAAGUGUCUCCAGGGGAUUAGUACCAGGUUUUCCUCAGGGGGAAGUGUUUCCAGGGGAUUAGUACCAGGUUUUCCUCAGGGGGAAGUGUUUCCAGGGGAUUAGUACCAGGUUUCUCAGGGAAGUUCCAGGGUUAGACCAGGUUUCCUCAGGGGAAGUGUUUCCAGGGGAUUAGUACCAGGUUUUCCUCAGGGGAAGUGUUCCAGGGGAUUAGUACCAGGUUUUCCUCAGGGGGAAAGUGUUUCCAGGGGAUUAGUACCAGGUUUUCCUCAGGGGAAAGCUUUCCAGGGAUUAGUACCAGGUUUUCCUCAGGGAAGCGUUUCCAGGGAUUAGUACCAGUUUCCUCAGGGGGAAGUGUUUCCAGGGAUCAUACCAGGUUUCUCAGGGGGAAGUGUUUCCAGGGGAUUAGUACCAGGUUUUCCUCAGCUGUGCUCCCUGCGGGGGGAAGCGUUUCCAGGGGAUUAGUACCAGUUUUCUCGCGGGGAAAGUUUCCAGGGAUUAGUACCAGGUAUUCCUCAGCUGUGUCCCUGCGGGGGAAAGCGUUUCCAGGGAUAGUACCAGGUUGAAUAACUUGUGGCUGGCUGAAGUCAGAGCAGAGAACACUCUCCAGACAGUCAUAUCUUAUAAAAUCACUCGCAGCUAACGGGCCUCAGCAGCUCUGAGGUCCUGGGUUGGGAUAGGGUAGGCUUCCACCUGAAACCGGGCCCGUACAGCAGACGCCAGGUGACGUCAGGAGCUCUGAGAUCCUGGGUUGGAUAGGUUAAGGCUUCCCACCUGAAACAGGGGCCCGUACAGCAGGCGCCAGGUGAAGUCAGGAGCUCUGAGAUCCUGGUUGGAUAGUUAGGUUCCCACCUGAAACAGGGGCCCGUACAGCAGGUCCCAGGUGACGUCAGGAGCUCUGAGAUCCUGGUUGGGAUAGGGUUAAGGCUUCCCACCUGAAACAGGGCCCGUACAGCAGGCGCAGGUGAAGUCAGGUACCAGGUACUCACAUCUGCUCUAUGAUCCUGGGCUAAGGUUAGGGUAUAAGGUCAUUACAGGAUUCCCAGUUGCUUCAUGACAGCAGGUACAGACCUGAGGACAUACUGGGGCUUCAGAUAGCAGGACAAGCAGGUACAGACCUGAGGACAACUGGGGCUUCAGAGCGACAGCAGGUACAGACCUGAGGACAUACUGGGGCUUCAGGACAGCAGGUACAGACCCGAGGACAUACUGGGCUUCAGGACAGCAGGUACAGACCCGAGGACAUACUGGGGCUUCAGUACAGCUGGUACAGACCUAAGGACAUACUGGGGCUUCAGACAGCAGGUACAGACCUGAGGACAUGCUGGGGCAGCUGUACCAGCUGCUUUUUUUCUGUCACGAGUCACUAGAGACCUAAGCAGUUCACAUAUGAAAAGACACCAAAACGAACAUGCAGCUAACUGAGAUCCUUCCAUUCUACUCUGCUGAUUGGGUCAGGGAGGGAGAAGAGAACUGGGAACAGUUUGGGAUCUCCAUUCUACUCUGAGGAGCAGGCAGAGGGUCCAUUCUACUCUGAUGGAGCAGACAGGAGGUCAUCAUCUGUGGGAGCAGACAGAGGGGUCCAUUCUACUCUGAUGGGAGCAGAGCAGGAGGGGUCCAUUCUACUCUGAUGGGGCAGAGCAGGAGGGGUCCAUUCUACUCUGAUGGGAGCAGAGCAGGAGGGGGUCCAUUCUACUCUGAUGGGAGCAGCAGGAGGGUCAUUCUACUCUGAGGAGCAGACAGGAGGGGUCCAUUCUACUCUGAUGGGAGCAGAGCAGGAGGGGGCCAUUCUACUCUGAUGGGAGCAGAACAGGAGGUCCAUUCUACUCUGAUGGGAGCAGACAGGAGGGGUCCAUUCUACUCUGAUGGAGCAGAACAGGAGUGGUCCAUUCUACUCUGAUGGGAGCAGACAGGCAGGGGUCCAUUCUACUCUGAUGGGAGCAGAACAGGAGGGUCCAUCUCACUCUGAUGGGAGCAGAGCAGGGGAUCAGAGAGGACUUGGGGGGCGGGGGUCCAUUCUACUCUGAUGGAGCAGACAGAGUGGUCCAUUCUACUCUGAUGGGAGCAGAGCAGGAGGGGUCCAUUCUACUCUGAUGGAGCGAGAGAGUGGUCCAUUCUACUCUGAUGGGAGCAAGAACAGGAGUGGCCAUUCU
rnacentral:lncRNA from 1 species